UAACGCGUGAGCAACCUGCCUUUCAGAGGGGGAUAACGAUUGGAAACGAUCGCUAAUACCGCAUAACGUCCGGAUGGGACAUCCUGUCUGGACCAAAGGAGAAAUCCGCUGAGAGAUGGGCUCGCGUCCAAUUAGCUAGUUGGCGGGGUAAAGGCCCACCAAGGCGACGAUUGGUAGCCGGACUGAGAGGUUGAACGGCCACAUUGGGACUGAGACACGGCCCAGACUCCUACGGGAGGCAGCAGUGGGGAAUAUUGCACAAUGGGGGGAACCCUGAUGCAGCGACGCCGCGUGAGGGAAGGAGGUUUUCGGAUUGUAAACCUCUGUCCUCUGUGACGAUAAUGACGGUAGCAGAGGAGGAAGCCACGGCUAACUACGUGCCAGCAGCCGCGGUAAUACGUAGGUGGCGAGCGUUAUCCGGAAUUACUGGGUGUAAAGGGAGCGUAGGCGGGGGAACAAGUUGAAUGUUUAAGAUAUGGGCUCAACUCAUAUAAGCGUUCAAAACUGUUUUUCUUGAGUGAAGUAGAGGUAAGCGGAAUUCCUAGUGUAGCGGUGGAAUGCGUAAAUAUUAGGAGGAACACCAGUGGCGAAGGCGGCUUACUGGGCUUUAACUGACGCUGAGGCUCGAAAGCGUGGGUAGCAAACAGGAUUAGAUACCCUGGUAGU
rnacentral:rRNA from 1 species